AAAAAGUGAUGGUUGCACACAACAACAUACAUACUAACACUUGUGUGUACGUGUCAAGCAGGGUCUAU
ensembl:ncRNA C24A11.11 ncRNA